rnacentral:lncRNA from 12 species
CCAUUAUUUAACAUGUCAUAUUAUAUUGUAUUAAGAUGUAAUUUCUUUAAUUUCAAGAGAAUAAUUUAAUGUUUAACAGGACAGGUUCCAGAAUAUUUCAAAUUCUUGUUUUUUUGUUUUUUUGUUUUUUUUUUAUCACAGUCACCUGAGAAUUCAGAGGAGGGUAGUGCUGUUCAUUUCUAGAAGGCGGCUCAAGAUACUAACAAACCAGAUGAAAAAAAAUUUUAGAUUAAAGUGAAUAAAGUCGUGAUGCCUGGAUGUCUCAGCGGUUGAAC